rnacentral:lncRNA from 1 species
CAAUUUUAUUUAGAAAUGCAAACAUCACUAAUCAUGCAUACAGGUUGACAUUUGACAUUUGUUAAUUCUCUGUCUUUUCUGUUUGUUGCAUAGGAACAUUUUCUCAAUACAUAAAUCUAUGCGGUACAAAAACAUGUUUAAAAAAGUUACAGCAGAGCAAGUAGAGAUCAAAAUAUGACUGUACAACUGCAAUACUUUGAUGUAGUGAUUUCUUUUCAAAAGUCCAAAAAAGUGACCCAUGAGAGCAAUGAAGUGCUGUCAAGAGAACAGAUGAGGGGGAAUGGUGACAAAAGCAGUAAUCUUUUACCCCAAAAUGAAGAUCUGUAUGUAAACAUGCAUAAAAUUCACAUACUUCCAUUCAUGUACUCACACAGAAACGGAAUUAUUGCAAGAAGGAAGACUGUAGUUAAGACACCUUUGGAAUGUAGAGAGGAUUCUACCUGUUGUAAACAGCAUUUGGGGGAUUAUGGAGUUUGUUUUACAGUGCUACAGUCAACUGCCUUCAUAUUUACAGUAAUAAAAAAUGUAGAACAUGAUACAAAGAAAAGCACCUGAAUGUGUAAUGUACAUCAUCAGAACCACCCAAGCCAACACUAAUUAAUUCUCCCCCUCUCUUUUUGUUUUUCAAACUCCCAACAUUCACGUUGGCUCCUUCCCACUCCAUCCACCCCCACACAAUUUAGAAAACUGUCUAAAGCCAUUUCUUGUUAAAGCAUAGACCCACUGGUUAUGAUUACUACAGCCACUGGCCUGGGAUGCAGGCACGCCUUAAAAUAUGCUCUGGUCAGUUCACUGGAACUCAGAGUUUAUUUGAAAGACGCCUCAGUACCAGUAUUGCAUGCGGAAGGUUACUUAUGGACAAAAAUCUCACUUCUUAGGUCAAGCGGUUCCUUUUUGAAAUGGUCACAGCAACUCCUUGCUCGCAGAUAGCCACUGCAAGAUACAGAUAGAGUUGUCAGGUCCCAGUGUGGAUAAAGGAGAUGCUAGCUGACCACAAAAACUGUGCUAGCCAAGGAAACAGGAAGCAUUGUCUGGGAACCACUGACACACUUGGUGGGGGAAAGGAGGACAUUCUCCUAUUUAUGUCCAGUCAGACAGUACACAAGGCUGAGGGCGAGGGAGAAGAUCAAAGUACUGUCCAGCUAAAAUACCAGGUUUGUAACACUUUCUAGAUGCAGGUUUUAUGGGGUUUUUAGUUGUGAUUUUGUUUCAUACUUACUGUCCAUAUGCUCUAGCUAUAUGGAAUAAAGUAUGGACGUGUUCUGCUUUUAAGCGGUGU